CCUACGGGUGGCAGCAGUGAGGAAUAUUGGUCAAUGGUCGGAAGACUGAACCAGCCAUGCCGCGUGAAGGUGACGGCCCUAUGGGUCUUAAACUUCUUUUGUGAGGGAGCAAUAAGGUUCACGUGUGGACUGAUGAGAGUACCUCACGAAUAAGCAUCGGCUAACUCCGUGCCAGCAGCCGCGGUAAUACGGGGGAUGCAAGCGUUAUCCGGAUUUAUUGGGUUUAAAGGGUGCGUAGGCGGCCUGUUAAGUCAGCGGUGAAAUACAGGGGCUCAACCUCUGCCGUGCCGUUGAUACUGGCAAGCUGGAAUGCGGAUGCCGUGGGAGGAAUGUGUGGUGUAGCGGUGAAAUGCAUAGAUAUCACACAGAACACCGAUUGCGAAGGCAUCUCACGAAUCCGCUAUUGACGCUGAUGCACGAAAGCGUGGGGAUCAAACAGG
rnacentral:rRNA from 1 species